AGAAGAUAACUUUGGUUUUGUUAAUCUUCUCAAAGAGGAAAGGCCACAAGGCGAGCCACGAGCCAAAGAAGAAGGAAACACAUUUACGGCUAUAGCGAA
rnacentral:sRNA from 1 species